UGGGGAAUAUUGGACAAUGGGCGAAAGCCUGAUCCAGCCAUGCCGCGUGUGUGAAGAAGGUCUUCGGAUUGUAAAGCACUUUAAGUUGGGAGGAAGGGCAGUAAGCGAAUACCUUGCUGUUUUGACGUUACCGACAGAAUAAGCACCGGCUAACUCUGUGCCAGCAGCCGCGGUAAUACAGAGGGUGCAAGCGUUAAUCGGAAUUACUGGGCGUAAAGCGCGCGUAGGUGGUUCGUUAAGUUGAAUGGGAAAGCCCCGGGCUCAACCUGGGAACUGCAUCCAAAACUGGCGAGCUAGAGUAGGGCAGAGGGUGGUGGAAUUUCCUGUGUAGCGGAGAAAUGCGUAGAUAUAGGAAGGAACACCAGUGGCGAAGGCGACCACCUGGGCUCAUACUGACACUGAGGUGCGAAAGCGUGGGGAGCAAACAGG
rnacentral:rRNA from 1 species